GUGUUUGGCUCUAUUUUCAUGAAACUAAAAACGGACACUUUUUCUGCCGAACACCGCUGAAACAACGGAACGCCUGGCUGCCUCCAAGAAAGCAUACGAACACUGGCUGUUCGGGAGUUUUGAAACACACGAAAGAACUUAACCCAGAUAGCCUACCCAUGGAGUCAAUCGCAUACCGAAAGACUGUAAGAACUUUGACUCCAUGGCGAUUGAACUGUGUGUGUGGGAUCUGAGCGCUAUUCGCUAAUAAUAUGCACUCAGAUCCAGGCUAUCUGGGGAUAUGUGAUGCGAAUGGGAAAUGUUAG